rnacentral:rRNA from 1 species
GAUCCUGGCUCAGGAUGAACGCUAGCUACAGGCUUAACACAUGCAAGUCGAGGGGCAGCAUGGUCUUAGCUUGCUAAGGCCGAUGGCGACCGGCGCACGGGUGAGUAACGCGUAUCCAACCUGCCUUACACUCUUGGACAGCCUUCUGAAAGGGAGAUUAAUACAAGAUGUUAUCAUGAGUAAGCAUUUCGUCAUGNUAAGUUAACGGUGUAGA